GCUUGAGCACGUAGGUGGGUUUGUAAGUCAGGUGUGAAAGCNUUCUGUUCAACGGGAGAAUUGCAUCUGAAACUACGAAUCUUGAGUGUAGGAGGGGAGAAUGGAACUUCUGGUGGAGCGGUGAAAUGCGUAGAUAUCAGAAGGAACGCCGGCGGCGAAAGCGAUUCUCUGGCCUAUUACUGACACUCAGUGUGCGAAAGCUAGGGGAGCAAACGGGAUUAGAUACCCCGGUAGUCCUAGCCGUAAACGAUGGGCACUAAGUAGAGGGGAUUACCGACGUUCUCUCUGCCGUAGCUAACGCAUUAAGUGCCCCGCCUGGGGAGUACGGCCGCAAGGCUAAAACUCAAAAGAAUUGACGGGGGCUCGCACAAGCGGUGGAGCAUGUGGCUUAAUUCGAUGCAACGCGAAGAACCUUACCGGGGCUUGACAUGGUAGAAGUAGGAACCCGAAAGGGUAACGAACGGUAUCCAGUCCGUGACUAUCACAGGUGUUGCAUGGCUGUCGUCAGCUCGUGUCGUGAGACGUUGGGUUAAGUCCCCUAACGAGCGAAACCCUUGUUUUUAGUUACCAGCGGGUUAUGCCGGGUACUCUAGAAAGACUGCCGUCGUCAAGACGGAGGAAGGUGGGGAUGACGUCAAGUCAUCAUGGCCCUUAUGCCCCGGGCUGCACACGUGCUACAAUGGUCGGUACAAACGGAAGCGAAGCCGAGAGGUGAAGCGAAUCCAAGC
rnacentral:rRNA from 1 species